rnacentral:rRNA from 1 species
UACGUAGGGUGCGAGCGUUGUCCGGAAUUAUUGGGCGUAAAGAGCUUGUAGGCGGUCUGUCGCGUCUGCUGUGAAAAUCCGGGGCUCAACCCCGGACUUGCAGUGGGUACGGGCAGACUAGAGUGUGGUAGGGGAGACUGGAAUUCCUGGUGCAGCGGUGAAAUGCGCAGAUAUCAGGAGGAACACCGAUAGCGAAGGCAGCUCGCUGGGACGGUACUGACGCUGAGGCGCGAAAGCGUGGGGAGCAAACAGG